UAAGCCCUCAUUUUUAAUCAUGUUAGUUCCGUUCUACAAUUACAUAUCUGCAACAAGAAAAAAAAGACUCUGGAGUUUUUAACUUUUAACCAUCUUCGACUUCUCCAUCCGUGUCAAGUCAGACCACUGUAGUCAGGCCCGGCUCUGGCCCUGUGCUGGAGGUGUAUUUGCACAGGGUCUAUUUCAUUUUUUGUCUUUUUUCAUCUAGGUUUAGGGCCCC
rnacentral:lncRNA from 1 species